CCAGCACCUGCGGUAAUUCCAGCUCCAAUAGCGUAUAUUAAAGUUGUUGCAGUUAAAAAGCUCGUAGUUGGAUUUCUGGCAGGAGCGACCGGUCUCACACUCUGUGUGAGAACUCGUGUUGUCUCUGGCCAUCCUUGGGGAGAUCCUGUUUGGCAUUAAGUUGUCGGGCAGGGGAUACCCAUCGUUUACUGUGAAAAAAUUAGAGUGUUUAAAGCAGGCGAUUGCUUGAAUACUGCAGCAUGGAAUAAUGGAAUAGGACUCGCGUCUUAUUUUGUUGGUUUGGAGAUGUGAGUAAUGAUGAAUAGGGACAGUUGGGGGCAUUGGUAUUCAGUAGUCAGAGGUGAAAUUCUUGGAUUUACUGAAGACUAACUAGUGCGAAAGCAUUUGCCAAGGAUGUUUUCA
rnacentral:rRNA from 1 species